rnacentral:rRNA from 1 species
UACGUAGGGUGCGAGCGUUGUCCGGAAUUACUGGGCGUAAAGAGCUCGUAGGUGGUUUGUCGCGUAGUUCGUGAAAACUCACAGCUUAACUGUGGGCGUGCGGUCGAUACGGGCAUCACUGGAGUUCGGCAGGGGAGACUGGAAUUCCUGGUGUAGCGGUGAAAUGCGCAGAUAUCAGGAGGAACACCGGUGGCGAAGGCGGGUCUCUGGGCCGAUACUGACGCUGAGGAGCGAAAGCGUGGGGAGCGAACAGG